GGAUUGCAGGCUGAAACCCGCCUGUAUGAAGUUGGAAUCGCUAGUAAUCGCGGAUCAGCAUGCCGCGGUGAAUACGUUCCCGGGCCUUGUACACACCGCCCGUCACACCAUGAGAGUCGGGAACACCCGAAGUCCGUAGUCUAACCGCAAGGGGGGCGCGGCCGAAGGUGGGUUCGAUAAUUGGGGUGAAGUCGUAACAAGGUAAC
rnacentral:rRNA from 1 species